rnacentral:rRNA from 1 species
GAUGAACGCUGGCGGCGUGCCUAAUACAUGCAAGUCGAGCGAACAGAUAAGGAGCUUGUUCCUUUUACAUUAGCGGCGGACGGGUGAGUAACACGUGGGUAACCUACCUAUAAGACUGGAAUAACUCCGGGAAACCGGUGCUAAUGCCGGAUAACAUUUAUAACCGCAUGGUUCUAGAGUGAAAGAUGGUUUUGCUAUCACUUAUAGAUGGACCCGCGCCUUAUUAGCUAGUUGGGAAGGUAACGGCUUACCAAGGCAACGUACAGUAGCCGACCUGAGAGGGUGAUGGGCAACAUGGGAACUGAGAACGGCUCCAGACCCCUCCGGGAGGAAGCAGAAGGGAAUCUUCCGCAAUGGGGGAAAGCCGGACGGGCAACGGCGGCGUGAGUGAUGAAGUUUUUCGGAUCGUAAACCCUGGUUAUUAGGAAAGAACAAAUGUGUAGGUAAAUGUGCACGUAUUGACGGUAACUAAUCAGAAAGCCACGGCUAACUACGUG